rnacentral:tRNA from 1 species
GCUCCAAUGGCGCAAUGGUAGCGCGCGAGACUUCUACUGUAGCACAAAUGCUCUGGAAAUCUCGAGGCUUUGGGUUCGAGCCCCAAUUGGAGUG